GGCAGGGUAGCUCAGUGGUAGAGCAAGGUCUUCAUAAGGCCGAGGUCACGGGUCCGACCCCCGUCCCUGCUACAA
rnacentral:tRNA from 3 species